CAGAUCCUCAGGCAGGAGCUCAGCACCCACACAGCAGUUCAGGUGCUCAGGUCCUCGGGCAGGAGCUGAGCAAACACACAGCCAGUUCAAGGGCUCAGGUCCUCAGGCAGGAGCUGAGCAACACUGUUGGGUGAGGACCAGCUGUUCAAACAACGCAGAAAUGAUGUCAUCUACUGGCAAACAGAAGAAAAUACUGUAAGGAAUUCUGGCUAUCAAUUAUAGAAGAGCUUGGGAGAGAGAUGAGUUAAAGAAGUGGAGGAUCAGGAAAAGGUACAAAUGAAGAGGCUCUUUGGGUGAAAGUAAAGGAGGAAAACAGACUGUUAUGCUAACCUUGGCGCUCUUCAUGGGAAGCCAUUUCUCCAGGGUUUCUUCCCAUGUUACCCUGCAGUCACAUAUGCAGCCUUCUCCCAGGCUCUAAUACAUCUGUGGUUAGUUGACCCAAAAGGGUGUGCUUGAGAUUGAU